rnacentral:rRNA from 1 species
UACGUAGGGGGCGAGCGUUGUCCGGAUUUAUUGGGCGUAAAAGGCUUGUAGGUGGCCACGUCAAGUCGGAUGUGAAAUCUCCCGGCUCAACUGGGAGGGGUCAUUCGAUACUGGCGGGCUCGAGGCCGGUAGGGGGAAGCGGAAUUCCCGGUGUAGUGGUGGAAUGCGUAGAUAUCGGGAGGAACACCAGUGGCGAAGGCGGCUUCCUGGACCGGUUCUGACACUGAGGCACGAAAGCUAGGGGAGCAAACAGG